rnacentral:rRNA from 1 species
AUGGCAACCAAGAGCCUUCUUCUCGCCGCCCUCCUGGUCCUCGCCGUCGGCAUGGCGCCGCAAGACGCUGCCGUGCAGAUGGUGUGCGGCCGUGAUGUGAUGGCCAGCGCGACGGCCGACCGCAGUGGAACUUACACCAUGAACAUGGCCCGGCCUCCUCAUCGCUGCUCGCCCCUCUACUGGGCAACCAGUGCAAGGUGGUGGUGGUCACCCCGCUAG